AGGGAUUAUAAGGCCAACGGAUUCGUAACCCUUCCUUGUUGCCGAGUGCAAUUUUGUACACUGAUGAAUCCUGCUUGCUACAAAGCAGGGAAUAAAUGAACUAGACAUUUCCUUCUGGUGGAAAACAUCCUGGUGACAAAAAGAAAGAACAGAGCAUCUCAGGAAGACAUACGGGAAGACAUCUCAGGAGGACAUCCAGUUGUGGGUACACGAAGAGUGAGAAGCCUUUCCCAAGAUGACUCCAGACCUGGAGAAGACAGCGAGUGCCUACCACGGGGGGCUGUACUGGAGAGGAAGACAGCUGCCAAUUCAUUGCCUGCUGGAGCCUCUGGAGGGACUUAGGGAGCCCAGGAAGAUUCCUACUGUGAUUGCCCAUCUCAUGGAUGAUAUCUCUGAACGUAAAAUUUUAAGAUAAGAACCACUGUUUCAUAUACCAGGGAGGGAAUGCCUGUGGAAAAUAUCUGCAGGAAAGCAAAAUGUUCAGCGCCAACUGGAGUCUUGCAAGCCUGAGUGCAUACAGAGGCAAAGUCCAGUUGGGCAUGUGCAAGAAAGGAAGAGCAGAAUCACCAUAGAAUCACAGAAUGGCUGAGGUUGGAGGGGAACUUAAAGAUCAUCCAGUUCCAACCCCCGUGCCAUGGCCUGGUUGCCCCCCACCAGCUCAUGCUGCUCACUGCCCAUCCAGCCUGGCCUUGAAUGUCUCCAGAGAUGGGGCAUCUGCAAAUUCUUUGGGCAGCAUGUGCCAGUGCCUCACCAUCCUCUGAGAACAGAACUUCUUCCUAAAAUCUGUUCAGAACCUCGUCUCUUUUAGGUUAAAGCCACUCUCCCUACUUCUAUCGCUAUCAAACAGUGUUGAAAAGUUGGUUCCCCUUCCUUGUUGCAAGCUCCCUUCAAGUAUUGGAGGGCUGCAACAGUGUCUUCCCGGAGCCUUCUUUUCUCCAGGCUGAGCAAUCCCAAUUCUCUCUGCCUCACCUGAUAGGAGAGGUGCUUCAGCCCUUGGCCCUUCUCUACACUCACUCCAACAGCUCUGCAUACUCCCUGCAUCAGAGAGCAGUAGUCCAUCUACUGGACUGUACUGUAACAUCUGGAGAUGGUUACACUCAAGGGCAGAGCAGAGGAAGACAAUCAUCUUCCUUCUCUGCUGGCCACCCCUCUUUUGGUGUAGCCCAGAAUACUGUUGGGCUUCUGGGCUGAAAAUAAAGCAGAAAAUAAGGCUCCUUUGCACUGAAGAAGGAAAGGAGUGGUGUUGAGUCUCCAAGUUGGAUGGUUAAAAGCUGCACAAAAUAGCAGCUAGCUGUGACUCUUGGUAAGGGCUACAGGCACAGGUGUCAUCCUUGGUGAGUUUAAAGCUGUGAGCCCUCUGCAAAGUGCCCUGGGUGCUUUGUGCAGCUGGGGGUCAGCACAAAGCAAACCAGCAAAGUAUGCAGUGCCACGAGAGCACUGGGCAGGCUGAAGGAGCGUGUGAAAGCAGCAGGGUGAGAAAUUGCAUUCUGUUCUAGUAAGUAAAGGAUAUGGAGAGGGGUGGGCUCACAGGAGUGUGGGCAACUUUCAGACUGAGGAGAAAUUUUCCAAAAGCGUAAAAUUGUAAUUGCGUGAGGAAAGGGUGGUUAAUAAUUUUCCCCUUUUAAUUCAAACGCACUAAAGUUAAUUGCCAUUUGGCAGCCUGAGAUACACAAAUUAGGGGAGGCUAAUUCUGCUAAUCCUCACUCUAAGUUGCAGGGUAUUAAAUACAAACAUGAUCGUCCAGCAAAUGGACAGAUCCUGCCUCUACUGAAACCAGAAGGAGCUCUGACAUUGACUAGAGUAGGGGUCAGGUUAAGCCCCUGGGUGAGCUGUGCAGGUAGGGAUAAUCAGGCUUGGAUGAAGGGGGAAACAAAAGGGUUUUUCCUUUUGCAUUUGGGCCUGGAAUCACUCAGAUUCUCAAAUUCUUCAAACUUGCCCAACCUCCAACCUCAUCACACUUCCCAUUGCAACUGCUUUUUGGCUGCCCAGAUGCCUACAGGCUGCGUUUUCUGUGCUUCUCCAUUCCCCACUUCGUUCUCAAACCAAUUAAAUACAUGCUGGCAAAAAUAUCUCAAAAACCAAUGGCUGUAAUGCAAACUGGGCUAUUUCCUUGAGGAACUUCUUCCCUGUUCAGCCUGCAGCAAUCUGUCUGCUGUCCCAAAUUCUCCACAUGCUGUUGCUACCGUGUGUUAUAUUGCACAUCUGAUUUAAGCCCAGCAAGGCUUUAGCUCAUCCUCUGGUGAGUAAACCCAAGGAGAUCCCACAGGAGCCAAGAAGCAUGCUGCCAGAGGAUGAAUGUUGGGUUCUGAGAUGAGUGGAAGUCUGGCUAUAGGAUGCAGUAUGGGUCUAUGCCUCGCAGCACUGAAGACCUUUGGUUUGGAGCUCUGCCUCUGAGCCAGGAUAAAACCAUUUGCCCAUCUGUGUGAAGUGUCUCUCUACCUGCAUAGCUGAAGUGUAAUUAAAGGUUGAUCCAGUGAACAGGACUUAAUCUCUUAUGGCAUGAUAUAUUUGGGCCAAGCACCUCACUACGACUUGAUUUGAAUUCCUGUUUACAAAUGGCACUAGAUAAAUAGUAAGGAGAUAGUCCAAUCAGAAGUGGGUACUGCUUGGAAACAGCCAUUUGGCUUGAAGUAUUGCAAGAAAAUCAAUGUGGGAUCUCUACAGAGCCGAAUAAGAACAUCAGUCUCCAAAUACAUCUGAUGUGAGCCAAGCCUCCUCAUUUUCAGUUCAGUUAUCACUGACAUUUCAGCUAUUAUUCAUCAGUUUAGAAGGAAAAGAGGAACCUACAUCAUUUGCAAAACCUAUAUGGUCUUUCCAAACAUUUUUCCUGCCUUCCCAGUGAUGAUUAUUACACACUGCUGUAAUUAAGCAGAUUAAUUUACAUUUCCCAUCAUCUGAGGAUGGAGUAGCAACCCAGAUUUAUUUCUCUGGAUUGCUUCCCUCAGUCACUGCUCAUAGCACUGAAGCUGCAGCAGUAUUUUCUCUUUCAAAAAUGCAGCAGCAGAGAUGCUCUGUGAUUCCAAAUGAAAUAAUUUUGAUGUCACAAGAAAUGUCAUUAAAACUACUGCAGUCUUUUAAUAAGCUCCUUCUUAGGAGGAUGGAUUUUCAGCCUCCUCGUGUCAGCUCUGCGCAGAGUAACUACAGCAAAGCUUGGUGCCAGUGUCCCUGUUACAAAAUCUGUUUCUCAAGGGUUUAUAAUUAUAACAUGCCCAUAAAAAUUUACUCAUCUGAAACCCAGGAUAUAGUUUCUCAGACAGAGAGGAAAUAUUGCUCGCUGAACUUGGUUUAAAUCAAUUCCGAGUUUCAAGAAUCCAAAAAUAAUAAGGUUUGUGGGUUUUAUAUGCUCUUUCUGUGGUUCCAUAACUCAGAAAGAAAUCACUUUGUAGAAUAAAGUGUCAUGUUUGUUUAUAAAGCAGAGCAGGGGAGAAGCAGAUAAAAGUUCAGACUUCUUAUAGUGGCUACUGAAAAUCCAAAGAAAAUCAUGUUCUCCAUUUCCCCAUGGUGCCCUCACACUCGAAGCUUGUCCUGACUAGCUGUGAUGAUACACACUGCAGGAUCCCAGCGGGGCUGUGGGCCCCAUCCUUGUAGGUGUAGAGAGCUGCCCUAAGCAGCUGGGGGAGUAAGGGAUGGAAUCACCCACAGCAUUUUUGCCCUUUCCCUCAUUUCCAGCUUACCGCAGUUAGAAGGCAAACGGAAAGUGCCCUCCUAAUAAUUGCUAAUAAAAGCGUCGAUAAACGAUCCCUGCACAACUGAGUUCCAAUGCAUAUUGGCAUCACCAAACGCCUUGCAAUAUUUAGCCUUUAGCUUGUAUCGACGAGGAAAAUAACACUGCUGCUGUACUGAACUAUAGAUGGCAUAAGCAAAGCCCAGCAAGUACAGAAAGACAGAAAACAAGUCCUGUGAAAUCUAAAAGCAAUAUUUUUAAUUUCAUUUGGAAUUCGCAUUCAGGUCAGUUUUGUACAGCUGCACGUCGUUCAGUCUAUCUUUGUCAGCUCUUGCCUAUUAGAAAAAAUAUUGCACUUCUCAAUGUUCUACCUCUAUCAAAUUGACAGGGUCAUUUUUCACAAGGCAAGCUGGAAUUAAGGUGACAUUAAACCAUUUUGCAUACAACAACUAAAGUCGUGCUGCAACAACAGUUAAAAAAAUAGCUGUUUUCUCGGUGUUAUUUAUCAUACCUUUCCAAGGCAGUUUUGGUGAGUUCCUGAAUAUCUGCAGAUUUGCUAGCUUGACAUGAUAUUGCAAGUUUGGAAAUCAUGUUUGCAGUUGUAAUUAUAAUAUUCUCAUUUUCUCAUUCUGCCUAGUAUUACAACUUCUUUAAAGUCAGCCCCUGUAAGGAACACUGUCUGUUUGUCAGAGUGUUAUUUCCACAAAGUAUUUUCUCCUUUGAGGAGUGUUAUUUCCACCCUGCAAUAUAUCAGGUAUUUCAUUCACACAAAAUGAUUGAACAAAUGAUAAAAAGAACUACCUUAUCAAGGAACAUGCUUAUAAGCACAUUCUGCUCUUCCUUCAACUUCAGGCUUUUAGUAUUACUGACUCAGAUCCCAUAUGUAAAGCAAUACACUGAGUACUGUAGGGGUCUUAGAGGAAGUGUGCAUAUUUUCCACAGCUGGCUGAAAUCCAAACGUAUUUCUAAAUCCUAAAGAAAUUCUGCUCAUGAGUCAUCCUUGUAGUGCAGCGUAGGAGAGUGUGGCUGCGUGGGAAGGGGGGGCUCUG